rnacentral:rRNA from 1 species
UUUUAUGGAUAAGCUAUUAAGGGCUAACGGUGGAUGCCUUGGCAUCGGAAGGCGAUGAAGGACGUGGUAAGCUGCGAUAAGCUUCGGGGAGUCGUUAACAGGCUUUGAU